rnacentral:rRNA from 1 species
AUUGAACGCUGGCGGCAGGCCUAACACAUGCAAGUCGAGCGGAUGAAGGGAGCUUGCUCCUGGAUUCAGCGGCGGACGGGUGAGUAAUGCCUAGGAAUCUGCCUGGUAGUGGGGGAUAACGUCCGGAAACGGGCGCUAAUACCGCAUACGUCCUGAGGGAGAAAGUGGGGGAUCUUCGGACCUCACGCUAUCAGAUGAGCCUAGGCCGGAUUAGCUAGUUGGUGGGGUAAAGGCCUACCAAGGCGACGAUCCGUAACUGGUCUGAGAGGAUGAUCAGUCACACUGGAACUGAGACACGGUCCAGACUCCUACGGGAGGCAGCAGUAGGGAAUAUUGCACAAUGGGCGAAAGCCUGACCGAGCCAUGCCGCGUGUAUGAAGAAGGUCUUCGGAUUGUAAAGCACUUUAAGUUGGGAGGAAGGGCAGUAAGUGAAUACCUUGCUGUUUUGACGUUACCUACAGAAUAAGCACCGGCUAACUUCGUG